AUUGAACGCUGGCGGCAUGCCUUACACAUGCAAGUCGAACGGUAACAGGCCGCAAGGUGCUGACGAGUGGCGAACGGGUGAGUAAUGCAUCGGAACGUGCCCAGUCGUGGGGGAUAACUGCUCGAAAGAGCAGCUAAUACCGCAUACGAUCUAUGGAUGAAAGCGGGGGACCGUAAGGCCUCGCGCGAUUGGAGCGGCCGAUGUCAGAUUAGGUAGUUGGUGGGGUAAAGGCUCACCAAGCCAACGAUCUGUAGCUGGUCUGAGAGGACGACCGGCCACGUGGGGACUGAGACACGGCCCAGACUCCUACGGGAGGUAGCAGUGGGGAAUUUCGGACAAUGGGGGCAACCCUGAUCCAGCAAUGCCGCGUGCAGGAAGAAGGCCUUCGGGUUGUAAACUGCUUUUGUACGGAACGAAACGGUCUGGGUUAAUACCCUGGGCUAAUGACGGUACCGUAAGGAUAAGCACCGGCUAACUACGUGCCAGCCGCCGCCGUAACAC
rnacentral:rRNA from 1 species